rnacentral:lncRNA from 1 species
GAUAAACUGCCAAACCAGAACUUUACACCCAGAGAAAAUCUCUUUAAGAUUAAAAUCAAAAUACAGACAUUUUCAAAAUGAUGAAGUUUAUUAUCAAUGGGCCCUAAACUGUUAAAGAACGAUUUUAAGGAAAAUGAUCCCCAAAAGAAGGUCAGAGAUAUAAGAAAAAUGUAAGCAAAGAAAAAGGAGGAGGAGAAGAAACAGGCUUACGCUGAGCGAAUCCAAUGUGCAGACAGACACACAGGGAAGGUGACCAUUUGAAGACGGAGGCAGAAACUGAAGUUGUGCAACUGCAAACCAAGAAAUGCCAUGGAUUGCCAACAACCACCAGGAACUAGAAGAGGCAAGGUAAGGUUCAGCAAAGUCUAUGUCAUUCUCUAAUCCUUUUGAUCCAGCGGAUUCUUUGGAGGAAUUUGAAUACAUAUUGGAUUUUGCAUCCAGGUUUGCAAGAGGAAAAUACAAAGGUGACUUCUGGGCCUGCUGGAGGUGGAGGGUAGAGGAUGGACAGCUGACAUCUAGUCACAGAGGAAAGAACACAGAAAGAGAUCUCCAGUUAAAGCUGAUAGAUUGAACCACAGACAACCCACCUCCUUCUAAAAUCCCUCUAGAACAAUGGUUUAAAAAAAGUGCUUUAACAUAAAACUUCAAAAUCAAAAAGAUAAGGAAAAUGAUGAAAACCACUCAGAUAAGAAGAGAGGAUAUUUAUGCAGAGGCUGCUGUCGUUGGGAGUCCGCCACCAUACCACUAUACUUUGGUGAGACUUGAAGGCAGGCAGGGAGUGGAAACACUUUAUGCUGUAGUGAAAAAAGGGGAAGGCUUCGGUAUGCUCUGACUGGAGAUCAUUGUCAUGGGGAAACUGCAGGUGGGCUAACUAGAGGCUGGGCUUCUUGUGUAAUGGUUUGGCUUUCUCUGGUUGGUCCUGUGUUGAAAAUAGGGGCAAAAUAUAGGGAAGCUGACUCAUUGACCAAGCCCUGCCCAGGCUGGCCAAUUGCAGAGGUUGUGGGUCAGAGUUCUAUUGUCAUAUAUGGUCUGGCUACUGUCUGUUUAUAUAAUCCGUCUCUCAGAGAACAGUAGAGGAGAUCAAAUUAUUAACAUUUUGGAAGCUGGAAAGCAGGAGGAUAGUGUGAGCUGAAUUAGCAGACUUGCCAUCUAUCAAAGGGGAUAGCCAAAAGCAAGCCAGAUUUGCCCCAGAGAACCACCAAAGGUUCAAGAAUUGGCAGCACCAGGUACCCCCAGAAGCAGGGAUAAAGUGGGGGCUGAAAUUGGACAGUUGGUUCAAAGUCUAUUUCAGAAGCAUUAGACCACUGGAUUUCUUCCCCAGCUCCCAAAUGACUGCCUGGUGCAAAAGACUCAGGAUUGAUUCCCUGGAGAGGGUAGGUAGUUCUUUGUCUAGUUAAGGAUGGGAUGCCAUAACAAACAUGCCAAUUCAGUGAAAGUACCUACUUUCAAGACUCCUGCUUAACUCCCCUAAAUCAGCAGCCAAUGUUAGAAGCCAAGUGUUAAAGUUUUUCAGAUAAUUUUGCUAUAAGCCUAUGGAGAAAUUUCAUUACCAUCUCAUAGCAAGGCCUAUAGUAUAAGAGCAGGCCUAUAGUAGCAUAUGGGGGAAAGUCUAAAAGACUUUGAAAUGGACCAAAAGAUUAUUGAGAAAUGGAAAACUGCAUUGUUUUAAGUAUCCCUUUCCAACUUAUCAGAUUCUGUGGGGUUUAUACCUUUCAUUGUCUUUGAGGUAUUUAACAAUUCUAAAGAGAUAGACUCUAACUUGUAGAAAACUAAGAGUAACAUAAAUAAUUAUCGUCUUUAGAUAUACAAAUAAAUUCUGUUCUGAG